rnacentral:rRNA from 1 species
GCAUAACGCGAAGAACCUUACCAAGGCUUGACAUCCCCUUGACCGGCACAGAGAUGUGCCCUCUCCUUCGGGAGCAAGGGUGACAGGUGGUGCAUGGUUGUCGUCAGCUCGUGUCGUGAGAUGUUGGGUUAAGUCCCGCAACGAGCGCAACCCUUAUCCUUAGUUGCCAGCAUUUCGGGUGGGCACUCUAAGGAGACUGCCGAUGAUAAAUCGGAGGAAGGUGGGGAUGACGUCAAAUCAUCAUGCCCCUUAUGUCUUGGGCUACACACGCGCUACAAUGGUCGGUACAAAGGGCAGCGAAGGAGUGAUCCGGAGCAAAUCCCAAUAAACCGAUCUCAGUUCGGAUUGUAGGCUGCAACUCGCCUACAUGAAGUCGGAGUUGCUAGUAAUCGCGAAUCAGAAUGUCACGGUGAAUACGUUCCCGGGUCUUGUACACACCG